rnacentral:lncRNA from 1 species
GAAACACAAAAAAGCUGCGCAGACAAUACACGGACCCAUCCCCCAUCGGAUCAUCCUCAACACACCCCUCCCCGUCUUCGUCUCCUUCACACACUCUGCCCCAAGUCACCGGACUCAACCCAACUCGCCGGAGUCCCUCCAUAACCGCCAUAACAGACCAUACUCUUCAAAGAACAAACCAUCUUCAACCUCAAAACACCCCCUGAACUUCUACUUCUUCACUCUUGAACAUCCUUUUAAGUAGUCAAAGCCAUCAGCAAAGAACUCCAUCGACCUCAUAUCAGUAGCACUAAACACACACAUAGUCACACACUGAAGCAACAAAGGCAAAAAAGCAGCAAACAAAAAUCGGGGCUGAACAGUGAGGCGUCCCAAAGCAUUUUACAACCUUUUUCUGGCGAGUCUCGAGUUCUUUGGUUGAGUUUUGAUGACUGUUUCCAUUGGUUCUUUGUCGAGGUUCCAUUCGAGGUCGACGACGUUGGUUUCGCAUUCCAUUCACUUCGUAGAUGAUUUGUUGUACAAACUUCCCUUAUCAAUAUAAUCGGAAGGUUUUUUGAGAAAGAAAGCUACCAUCGUCAUAUGCUUUGGUUUGAGNNNNNNNNNNNNNNNNNNNNNNNNNGGACCUAGCCCACAAUUGCCAAGCCCAUAAUUCCUAGGCCCAUACCCUUUAACCUAAAACACUACCACUAACCUAGACCUAGGUAUAUAAAAACAAGCUAACACUAAAGAAUAAAUGAAAGGGAGAAGGCAGAAACACAAAAAAGCUGCGCAGACAAUACACGGACCCAUCCCCCAUCGGAUCAUCCUCAACACACCCCUCCCCGUCUUCGUCUCCUUCACACACUCUGCCCCAAGUCACCGGACUCAACCCAACUCGCCGGAGUCCCUCCAUAACCGCCAUAACAGACCAUACUCUUCAAAGAACAAACCAUCUUCAACCUCAAAACACCCCCUGAACUUCUACUUCUUCACUCUUGAACAUCCUUUUAAGUAGUCAAACCCAUCAGCAAAGAACUCCAUCGACCUCAUAUCAGUAGCACUAAACACACACAUAGUCACACACUGAAGCAACAGAAGCACAAAAGCAGCAAACAAAAAUCGGGGCUGAACAGUGAGGCGUCCCAAAGCGUUUUACAACCUUUUUCUGGCGAGUCUCGAGUUCUUUGGUUGAGUUUUGAUGACUGUUUCCAUUGGUUCUUUGUCGAGGUUCCGUCCGAGUUCGAUGGCGUUGGUUUCGCAUUCCAUUCACUUCGUAGAUGAUUUGUUGUACAAACUUCCCUUAUCAAUAUAAUCGGAAGGUUUUUGAGAAAGAAAGCUACCAUCGUCAUAUGCUUUGGUUUGAGAGGAGCUGUUGAUUUGGCACUCUCCUUAUCGUUUAAAGUAAGUUGUUUUCUGCUAAGUUUGCAAUUCAUGUGGCUUCAUGGAUCAUCUACUCUUGAAGUUUGGAUACAAAAUAAUUUUUACUUAGGUUACUGAUAUGUCUCGAAAUGAUUUAGUAUAAAAUGUUUGUUGUUUUCAUUUUGUUUCUUAGUAUGAUAUGAGUCAGUAAUGAUUUUGAAUAUGGAAGACACCCAAUAAUUUCGCAGCUUUUGACCCUUUAUAACCCCAAAUUAUAGGAAAUGAAUACACCGUAGCUUGCUUUAGGCGCGAUUAAUAAUAAAUAUCGUGACUAUGGGUACGGUUCCCGUGACAUGGUCAUGAUACAUAAACUCGGGUGUGCAUUUAUA